rfam:Vavraia culicis subsp. floridensis unplaced genomic scaffold supercont1.2, whole genome shotgun sequence.
GCCCCGAUAGCUCAGUCGGUAGAGCAUCAGACUUUUAAUCUGAGGGUCUAGGGUUCGAGUCCCUAUCGGGGCG